rnacentral:rRNA from 1 species
GAUGAACGCUGACGGUGUGCCUAAUACAUACAAGUCGAGCGAACAGACGAGGAGCUUACUCCUCUGACGUUAGCGGCGGACGGGUGAGUAACACGUGGAUAACCUACCUAUAAGACUGGGAUAACUUCGGGAAACCGGAGCUAAUACCGGAUAACAUGUUGAACCGCAUGGUUCAACAGUGAAAGACGGUCUUGCUGUCACUUAUAGAUGGAUCCGCGUCGCAUUAGCUAGUUGGUAAGGUAACGGCUUACCAAGGCAACGAUGCGUAGCCGACCUGAGAGGGUGAUCGGCCACACUGGAACUGAGACACGGUCCAGACUCCUACGGGAGGCAGCAGUAGGGAAUCUUCCGCAAUGGGCGAAAGCCUGACGGAGCAACGCCGCGUGAGUGAAGAAGGUCUUCGGAUCGUAAAACUCUGUUAUUAGGGAAGAACAAAUGUGUAAGUAACUAUGCACGUCUUGACGGUACCUAAUCAGAAAGCCACGGCUAACUACGUG